rnacentral:rRNA from 1 species
AUGAAGGCAGCAUUAAAAACUAUCCUCCCACAAACUCUGCAUAAGCUGUGUCGGUGGGAUAUUAUGAAGAAGUACGAAGACCACCUUGCCUUGCUGUAUAAGGCGCAUCAGAAACUCAAGGAUGAACUCAAUGCGGUGCUGAACCACCCAUUAAUGCCGUCAGAAUUUGAACAAGCAUGGAGGAACCUCAUUCAGAGGUACAACUUGCAAGAUGACGAAGUGAUGAAUUCACUGUGGGAUGACAGGCACGAGUGGAUCUCGGCUUACUAGAAGGAAAUUUUCUGUGCUCGGAUGACUUCCACACAGAGAAGCGAGAGCAUGAACCGCAUACUGAAGAAAAUUUUUGUCAGGGAGAAGCAUGACCUCCAUAUGUUUGCUCAGCAGGUGGAUAAGUGCAUUCAGACCAGGAAGGCCGUCGAGCAUGCAAAGACAGUAGCAAAUGAGUCAGAGGUAAAAACAACAACCAAGUUUGGGUUCGAAGUUCAGCUAUUAAAAGUGUAUACAAGGGCAGUGUUUGCAGAUUUCAAAGAAACACUCUACCGUAGCACUACAUUCAGAGCAGAAUGGUGCCCUCAUAACCCGACAAAGUAUCUCGUACACCACUACAACAGAUCGGAUGCAUUUGACUAGGCAAGGCAUAAUUUCCAAGUGGUCGCCAAUGAAGAGAAAGGUGUCUACGAAUGCGAGUGCAAACUCUGGACACACAAGUGGCUCUUUUGCGUCCAUGUUUUAUGCAUGCUUUCUCAUUUGAGAGUACUCAAGAUUCCCGAGGUGUACAUCAUGAAGAGAUACACCCGUAACGCAAGAUCAGAUGCAACAUUUGACAGAAGAGACUAUGAACAAACUUCACCAGAUGGAACCUUACUUUUUUGCUGAAGCAAAUUGCUGACAGAAACAACAAUGGACCUUGCAAACAGAGCUACAAGGUCCGAC